GCGAGAGGUCAGCACAGGAAUAGCAGAGUGAUGUGGGAUGAAGGUGUAGUGUGUAUGUGAGGUCAGCACAGGAAUAGCAGAGUAAUGCGGGAUGAAGGUGUAGUGUGUAUGUGAGAGGUCAGCAGAGGAAUAGCAGAGCGAUGUGGGAUGAAGGUGUAGUGUGUAUGUGAGGUCAGCACAGGAAUAGCAGAGCGAUGAAGGUGUAGUGUGUAUGUGAGAGAUCAGCACAGGAAUAGCAGAGUGAUGAAGGUGUAGUGUGUAUGUGAGGUCAGCACAGGAAUAGCAGAGUGAUGUGGGAUGAAGGUGUAGUGUGUAUGUGAGAGGUUAGCACAGGAAUAGCAGAUGGAUACGGGAUGAAGGUGUAGUGUGUAUGUGAGGGGUCAGCACAGGGAUAGCAGAGCGAUGAAGGUGUAGUGUGUAAGUGAGAGGUCAGCACAGGAAUAGCAGAGUGAUGUGGGAUGAAGGUGUAGUGUGUAUGUGAGAUCAGCACAGGAAUAGCAGAGUGAUACGGGAUGAAGGUGUAGUGUGUAUGUGAGAGGUCAGCACAGGAAUAGCAGAGUGAUGCGGGAUGAAGGUGUAGUGUGGAGGUGUAUGUGAGAGGUCAGCACAGGAAUAGCAGAGUGAUGCAGGAUGAAGGUGUAGUGUGUAUGCGAGAGGUCAGCACAGGAAUAGCAGAGUGAUGCAGGAUGAAGGUGUAGUGUGUAUGUGAGGGGUCAGCACAGGAAUAGCAGAGCGAUGUGGGCUGAAGGUGUAGUGUGUAUGUGAUAGAUCAGCACAGGAAUAGCAGAGUGAUGCAGGAUGAAGGUGUAGUGUGUAUGUGAUAGAUCAGCACAGGAAUAGCAGAGUGAUGCGGGAUGAAGGUGUAGUGUGUAUGCGAGAGGUCAGCACAGGAAUAGCAGAGCGAUGUGGGAUGAAGGUGUAGUGUGUAUGUGAUAGAUCAGCACAGGAAUAGCAGAGUGAUGCAGGAUGAAGGUGUAGUGUGUAUGCGAUAGAUCAGCACAGGAAUAGCAGAGCGAUGCAGGAUGAAGGUGUAGUGUGUAUGCAAUAGAUCAGCACAGGAA